AUUGCUUGAUAUAUUCAAUUGAACUUACAAUACUUAUUUAUAGUAACAAUGUACAUCAGGUUGACAAGUUGCGUACAAUAUCUCAAUUAUUGCUUGGCAUAUUCAAUUGAAAUUUAAAAUACUUUUUUAUAGUAACAAUGGACAUCAGUUUGCAAAAUUGCAGAACUCUGCCUGCAAUAUUUGCAGAAUUAUUUGCCCCUUUGAAACUUAGAAAUUUUGGUUAAAGGUUAAAGAUAUUUACUUGAAACUUUACACAUGCACUUAGGGUCAUAAUUGGAGGGUCAUAAUUGUAUGUCACUGACCAAUUUCCAUAACUCUAUCUUGCAUUAAGGCUGAUUCAUAUCCCCUUUUCUACUUAGUCUCUUGGUUAAUGUUUACAUGCAAGUUUUACAUAUCUCAAUAACUAUUAAAGAUAUUUAUUUAAAACUUCACAUAUGCAUUUAGGGUCAUAAUUGUAGGUCACUGACAAAGAUCCAUAAUUCUAUCUUGCAUUUAGGCUGAUUUUUCUCCCUUUUUUUAACUUAAAAAUUCAUGGUAAAGUUUUGCUUGUAAGCUGUUAUCUAAAUAACUACUGAAGGGUUUGUGCCUUUUUUGGGACAAUUUAAUGCAUUCAUAAUAAUAAAGCAGUGAUUUACUUGAUAAAACAUCUUAAUAACAAGCCUUUGUACCUUUUCUGUCAAAUUUAUGUAUUCAUAGGUAAUAAGUAUUAUUAUACUCAAUAAAACACCCUUGUGACAUUACCUUCCGAAUAGUCAAGCCAAUACUGUAUAAUUAGACUCUCUCUAAGGCCUAUAACAUGAAUUUAUAAAAAAAAAUUAGCCCUUUUGUGAACUUAAAAAAUUUAACAUUAUCAAGGCUCCUUUACUAUCAAGCACUUAGAAUAGUCGAGCCUGCUGUCCUACCGACAGCUAUUGUUAUUGUAAGAUACAUUGAUGUCGAUUUAGCAAGAAGGAAUUUAGGUAUAUUAAUAAUUUCAGUUUUAUAAUGUAUAUCAUAAGUGCCAUUUUUGUAUGUGUAUAUUUAGUUUAACUGUUACAAUCCUGGAAUUGAAACUGCAAGUCUUUAUAUUAGACCAGUGUACCGGUGUAUUAUACGUCCCUGCAGUCUGACUUGGCUCUAUUAUACUGUUGGAGGCUAAGUUUAGUACAUGUUCAUAAAUUAUUAUGAUAAUGAAAUCCUUUUAAUUUCAAAUUCCAAGGACAUGUACAUUGUACAAAUCCAGCUGUGUAGGGUAAAUGUAUGUAUCUGCAUUACAUAGAAUGGUUUCUUCCAAGAUUUAUAAAGGAUUUUGUUUGUGCUUUUUGGUGUUUAAUUUAAAAAAUAUUUGCAGCACUAUGCAGGAACAGAAUAUGAAGGAUCAUAUUUGCCUAGAUUAUAACUUAUUAUUAAACAUAAAUUUAAUAUUAUGUGGAUAAUAAAGACGGCAUAUAAUUUGUGUGCAAUAUAUCAAUAAAAGUGAACAAUUACACAAUGACAUGAAUUCUUGAAAUAUUAUUAUUGUUAAAUAGACUGGGUCCAAGACUUUUUUUUAUUCAAAUAUUGAUUCAAUAAUUCUUUUAGACUGGUUUACUGCGGAUAGACAGUUUUUGUUUUGGGUUUUAUAUGUUGAAAUGGUUGUAAUGAAAUGUAGUUAAAGAAAAUGGCUGUAUAUAUGGCUCUUGUAUUCUAAUAGUCUUAUCAUAUGGAAAUAUGUUUUUGUUUCAGUUAUAUUAAAACACAGAAAAAAUUA